AAGGAGGAUGAUCUGCAAGUUUUAGAAACUAAACAGAUGCAGCUUUAAUCAAACACUUAAGCAUCAUGUAGCAAUAUUGAUAAGCGCUAUAUUUUUUUUACUUAUGCAUUCUAAAUCGUAAAUAAAUGCUAGCAAAAGUCAGCUAACAAUGGAAGUAAUGGGCGUCGUUCUAGUCCUCCUACAAAGUGCUCUAAAAAAAACCUCCAUCAAGGUUUUAUAUACACACUGUAUGUAUAUAUGUAGUAUCUAGUAACAUUCAUAACAACAUGUGAUAUUUACAUAUUUUUGUCAUUUUAAGUGUAUUCGUUUCACAAAGUUCACUUUCCCUUCAACGACAAAAAGACUACUAAUCAUGUCAGAAGUGAUGAGAGACUACAAAGACUACUUUGGGACAAACGACGAUCCAGAAACUUCUAUUUUUGAGCCUGAAUAUAAGGAGGAGGAUCUACAAGUUUUAGAAACUAAACAGAUGCAGCUUUAGUCAAACACUUAAGCAUCAUGUAGCAGUAUUGCUAAGUGCUAUAUUUUUUUGACUUGUGCAUUCUAAAUCGUAACUAAAUGCUAGCAAAAGUCAGCUAACAAUGGAAGUAAUGGGCGUCGUUCUAGUCCUCCUACAAAGUGCUCUAAAAAAAUUCUCUAUCAAGGUUUUAUAUACAUGCUGUAAGUAUAUAUGUAGUAUCCAUCCAUCCAUCCAUUUUCUACUGCUUAUUCCCUUUUGGGGUCACGGGGGGCAUAGUAACAUUCAUAACAACAUGUGAUACUUACAUAUUUUCGUCAUUUUGAGCGUAUUCAUUUCGCAAAGUUCACUUUCCCUUCAACAACAACGAGACUACUAAUCAUGUCAGACUUGAUAAGAGACAACAAAGACUCCUUUGGGACAAACGACGAUCGAGAAACUUCUAUUUUUGAGCCUGAAUAUUAAGAGGAUGAUCUACAACUUAAAUAAACUAAACAGACGCAGCUUUAGUCAAACAUUUAAGCGUGAUGUAGCAGUAAUGCUAAGUGCUAAACAAGAUACACAAACAUAAUAAAACAAUCACUUACUGUACAAUGUCUGCUCUCACUGGGGAUAAAGCCCUAUGGGAUGUUUAUAUCUUCCCCUUUACAUCAACGAUUCAACAUCGUUUAGUCAAACACAAAGCAUCAUGUAGCAGCAUUGCUAAGUGCUAAACAAGAUACACAAACAUAAUAAAACAAUCACUUACUGUACCAUGUCUGCUCUCACUGGGAUAAAGACUGAUGGGAUGUUUAUAUAUUCCCCUUAUAUCACCAAUUCAUUAUCAUUUAGUCAAACACUACGCAUCAUGUAGGAGCAUUGCUAAGUGCUAAACAAGAUGCACAAACAUAAUAAAACAAUCACUUACUGUACCAUGUCUGCUCCCGCUGGGAUAAAGACUGAUGGGAUGUUCAUAUAUUCCCCUUUACAUCACCAAUUCAUUAUCAUUUAGUCAAACUCUACGCAUCAUGUAGCAGCAUUGCUAAGUGCUAAACAAGAUGCACUAACAUAAUAAAACAAUCACUUACUGUACCAUGUCUGCUCUCGCUGGGAUAAAGACUGAUGGGAUGUUUAUAUCUUCCCCUUUACAUGAGUGAACAAGGAGACAGAACAGGAACGCUGACUGAGGCCGAGAAAAAAAAAUCGAUAGCCGUAAGCAUACAUAAACAUGUUAAACAGAAGCCACAAAACCUGCAACAAAAACGGGGUGCGUGAAAGAACCUCUUUUCCUCGUAAACAAGACACAGAGGCAAGCAGGCAGAAACGGAGAGGGGAGGGGGUGCCAAGAGAGGAAAGCCUAGUUAACUCUCUGUGAUCACGGCGCCACUAAAAGUAGUUCCUCUGUGGUAGCGCCUAUAAUAACAAUACGCCUAAUACUUGUUCAUAUCCAGGUCACCACAUGUCCAUGGAGUAUUGUUGGCGCUUAUGGGUACAAUAUAGUACUCCUAUUAGCUGCAUUGUUAGCCACCUCUUACUUGCCAUAUUUUACGAUUUAGAAUGCAUGAGUGAGAAAAACAUUUGUGUUCUUGUCUUCCGAGCAACAUUACAAAUAAGUACAGUUCCCCCUUUAAGGUGCAAUAAGAACACCCUCCCCCCACGCAAACACACACACACACACACACACACACACACACACAUGAAAGAUGGCGGACGUGGGAACAUGUCAUUAGCGUGACGCUCAUCAGAUCAUCCUGGCUAUUUUUAGCCAGCAACGUUUGAAAGGCAGAGAGUGGGAGAGUGUCAGUGGGAGGGUGUUCCUGCAUCCAUGGAGAGGGAAGUGUCAGCUUCGGUCUCGUUAACGUCAGGAGAGCCCACGCCAGCCUCGCUCCUCGCCGCCACAUGUCAGAGGUGGAGGAACGCAAAAGGCCAUAUUUGGUUUUUGGAACGCAGACGUGACUUUGACGGAAGAUGGCGGAAAGAAAACAGGAUGAUGCAAGAAGAAGGCAGAAGUUGAGAAGGUCAGAGAUGAGAGGAGGAAGACCAAAGAUGAGAUGAUGGAGGUUAAAGAUGAGAAGAUGAAGACCAAAUAUAAGUACAAGACCAAAAAUUAGAAGAAGAAGGCCAAUAAUGAGGAAAAAGGUCAGAGAUGAGAAGAAGUUCAAAGAUGAAAAAAGAAGACCAGAGAUGAGAAGAUGAAGACUAAAUUUGAAAAGAAGAAGAAGAAGGCCAAAAAUGAGAAGAAGGAGAAGGCCAAAGAUGAGAAGAAUAAGGCCAAUGAUGAGAGGAAGAAAACCAAAGAUGAAGAAAAAGGUCAAAGAUGAGAAGAAGAAGGCCAAAGAUGAUAAGAAGGCCAAAAAUGAUGAGAAGACCAAAGAUGAGAUGAAGAAAACCAAAGAUGAGAAGAAGGCCAAAAAUGAGAAGAAGACCAAAGAUGAGGAAAAAGAUGACCAAAAGAUGAGAAGAAAAAGACCAAAAGAUGAGAAGAAGACCAAAUGAUGAGAAGAAGGUCAAAGAUGAGAAGAAAAAGACCAAAAGAUGAGAAGAAGGUAAAAUAUGUGAAGAAAAAGAUCAAAAAUGAAAAGAAGACCAAAGAUGAGAAAAAGGCCAAAGAUGAGAAGGUUGAAGAUGAGAAGAAGAAAAAAACAAAGAUGAGGAGAAUAAAACCAAAGAUGAGAAGAAGACCAAAGAUGGGAAGAUGAAGACCAAAUAUGAGGAGAAGAAGAAGGCCAAAAAUGAGAAGAAAAGAAGACCAAAGAUGAGAAGAAUAAGGCCAAUGAUGAGAGGAGGAAAACCAAAGACGAGGAAAAAGGUCAAAGAUGAGAAGAAGGCCAAAAAUGAGAAGAAAGCCAAAAAUGAGAAGAAGGCCAAAGAUGAGAAGAAAUUCAAAGAUGAGAAAUAGGCGACAAAAAGAUGAGAAGAAAAAGACCAAAAGAUAAUAAGAAAAGACCAAAUGAUGAGAAGAAGGUCAAAGAUGAGAAGAAGACCAAAAAUGAGAAGCAGACCAAAAAUGAGAAGAAGAUGGCCAAAGAUGAGAAGAAAAAGACCAAAAAUGAGUAGAAGACCAAAGAUGAUAAAAAUACCAAAGAUGAGAAGAAGGUCAAAGAUGAGAAGAAAAAAAAAACACAAAGAUGAGGGGAAUAAAACCAAACUGAAAAGAAGAAGACCAAAGAUGAGAAGAAAAACAAAGAUGAUCUGAAGGUCAAAUAUGAGAAGAAGAACACCAAAUAUGAGAAGAAGGUGAAAGAUGAGAAGAAGAACACCGAAUAUGAGAAUAAGAAAACCAAAGAUGAGAAGAAGGUCAAAGAUGAGAAGAAGGUCAAAUAUGAGAAAAAGACUAAAGAUGAGAAGAAGAAGAACAAAGAUGAAAAGAAAGUCAAAUAUGAGAAGACCAAAGAUGAGGAAAAGGUCAAAUAUGAGAAGGAGACUAAAGACGAGAAAAAGGUGAAAUAUGAGAAGAAGACUAAAGAUGAGAAGAAGGUCAAAUAUAAGAAGAAGACUAAAGAUGAGAAGAAGAAGGUCAAAGGUGAGAAGAAGAGCAAAAGAUGAGAAGAAGAUGGUCAAAGAUGCAAAGAAAAAGACCAAAAAUGAGAAGAAGACCAAAGAAAAGAAAAAGGCCAGUGAUGAGAAGAAAAAUGCCAACGAUGAGAAGAAAGUCAAAGAUGAUAAGAAAAAAAAAUUAAAGAUGACUAGAAUAAAACCAAAGGUGAGAAGAAGAAGACCAAAGAUGAGAAAAAGAAGGCCGAAGAUGAGAAGAAGACCAGAAAUGAGAAGAAGGUCAAAGAUGAGAAGAAGGUCACAGAUGAGAAAAAGAACAAAGAUGACAAGAAGGUCAAAAAUGAGAAGCAGACUAAAGAUGAGAAGAAGACAGCCAAAAGAUGAGAAGCAGAUGGUAAAGAUGAGAAGAAAAAGACCAAAAAUGAGAAGAAGACCAAAGAUGAGGAAAAAG